UAUAAGUGAAUGACAAAUCGGAUAUUUCCUCAUUAUUUUUAACUUUUCUCUCCCGAAAAAAUUCAAAUCCAACUAAAAAUGCUAAAAUUCAGGAGGAAAAAUAUGAUUUGUCAUUCACUUAUU
rnacentral:pre_miRNA from 1 species